rnacentral:tRNA from 1 species
UCCCUGGUGGCUUAGACGGUAAAGCAUCUGCCUACAAUGUAGGAGACCCGGGUUCAAUCCUUGGCUUGGGAA